rnacentral:rRNA from 1 species
AGAGUUUGAUCAUGGCUCAGAUUGAACGCUGGCGGCAGGCCUAACACAUGCAAGUCGAGCGGUAGCACAGAGAGCUUGCUCUCGGGUGACGAGCGGCGGACGGGUGAGUAAUGUCUGGGAAACUGCCUGAUGGAGGGGGAUAACUACUGGAAACGGUAGCUAAUACCGCAUAACGUCGCAAGACCAAAGUGGGGGACCUUCGGGCCUCAUGCCAUCAGAUGUGCCCAGAUGGGAUUAGCUAGUAGGUGGGGUAAUGGCUCACCUAGGCGACGAUCCCUAGCUGGUCUGAGAGGAUGACCAGCCACACUGGAACUGAGACACGGUCCAGACUCCUACGGGAGGCAGCAGUGGGGAAUAUUGCACAAUGGGCGCAAGCCUGAUGCAGCCAUGCCGCGUGUGUGAAGAAGGCCUUCGGGUUGUAAAGCACUUUCAGCGGGGAGGAAGGCGAUAAGGUUAAUAACCUCAUCGAUUGACGUUACCCGCAGAAGAAGCACCGGCUAACUCCGUGCCAGCAGCCGCGGUAAUACGGAGGGUGCAAGCGUUAAUCGGAAUUACUGGGCGUAAAGCGCACGCAGGCGGUCUGUCAAGUCGGAUGUGAAAUCCCCGGGCUCAACCUGGGAACUGCAUUCGAAACUGGCAGGCUAGAGUCUUGUAGAGGGGGGUAGAAUUCCAGGUGUAGCGGUGAAAUGCGUAGAGAUCUGGAGGAAUACCGGUGGCGAAGGCGGCCCCCUGGACAAAGACUGACGCUCAGGUGCGAAAGCGUGGGGAGCAAACAGGAUUAGAUACCCUGGUAGUCCACGCCGUAAACGAUGUCGAUUUGGAGGUUGUGCCCUUGAGGCGUGGCUUCCGGAGCUAACGCGUUAAAUCGACCGCCUGGGGAGUACGGCCGCAAGGUUAAAACUCAAAUGAAUUGACGGGGGCCCGCACAAGCGGUGGAGCAUGUGGUUUAAUUCGAUGCAACGCGAAGAACCUUACCUGGUCUUGACAUCCACAGAACUUUCCAGAGAUGGAUUGGUGCCUUCGGGAACUGUGAGACAGGUGCUGCAUGGCUGUCGUCAGCUCGUGUUGUGAAAUGUUGGGUUAAGUCCCGCAACGAGCGCAACCCUUAUCCUUUGUUGCCAGCGGUUAGGCCGGGAACUCAAAGGAGACUGCCAGUGAUAAACUGGAGGAAGGUGGGGAUGACGUCAAGUCAUCAUGGCCCUUACGACCAGGGCUACACACGUGCUACAAUGGCAUAUACAAAGAGAAGCGACCUCGCGAGAGCAAGCGGACCUCAUAAAGUAUGUCGUAGUCCGGAUUGGAGUCUGCAACUCGACUCCAUGAAGUCGGAAUCGCUAGUAAUCGUAGAUCAGAAUGCUACGGUGAAUACGUUCCCGGGCCUUGUACACACCGCCCGUCACACCAUGGGAGUGGGUUGCAAAAGAAGUAGGUAGCUUAACCUUCGGGAGGGCGCUUACCACUUUGUGAUUCAUGACUGGGGUGAAGUCGUAACAAGGUAACCGUAGGGGAACCUGCGGUUGGAUCACCU